GGCUUGCUGGUCUAGUGGUAUGCAUGAUUCUCGCUUUGGGUGCGAGAGGUCACGGGUUCGAUUCCCGUGCAAGCCC